UGGGGAAUAUUGCACAAUGGGGGAAACCCUGAUGCAGCGACGCCGCGUGAACGAAGAAGGUAUUCGUAUCGUAAAGUUCUGUCCUAUGGGAAGAUAAUGACAGUACCAUAGAAGAAAGCUCCGGCUAAAUACGUGCCAGCAGCCGCGGUAAUACGUAUGGAGCGAGCUUUGUCCGGAAUUAUUGGGCGUAAAGGGUAAGCAGGCGGUUUAAUAAGUCGAAUGUUAAAGAUCGGGGCUCAACCCCGUAAAGCAUUGGAAACUGAUAAACUUGAGUAGUGGAGAGGAAAGUGGAAUUCCUAGUGUAGUGGUGAAAUACGUAGAUAUUAGGAGGAAUACCAGUAGCGAAGGCGACUUUCUGGACACAAACUGACGCUGAGGUACGAAAGCGUGGGGAGCAAACAGG
rnacentral:rRNA from 1 species